rnacentral:rRNA from 1 species
AUGAAUCACGAAGACGGCACUGAUCCUUGGUUUUCUCAAAGGCCGGAAACGCCCCCUUGGGAUGCAGCAGAGUACAAUCAACUCAUUUCUGCAGGGCCGUUGCUGCCACUACUAGAGCAGUACGCGGGCAUUGAUGGCAAAGGACUCACGUGGCAUCAAGCGGCAACCAUGUACCUGCCAUCAACGUCGUACACAGGACCUUCAACUACAAUCAACAGCAGCGCGGGGACAUCUACUGCGGGAUCCUCUGAGCACGCGAAAGAAGAGUUCCACCAGCCAGCCAAGAAUCCUGCCACAAAUAAUGCAGAGUCAGUGUCGGAAAUGGCAACCGUUCCAGCAAUGCCGACAAGCACACCUUUGCACACCAGCACAUGCAACACUCAAGCAGAUGAAACAUCCAUUGAUACUGAAGUGAAUGAUGAAACUGGUGACGAAGCACAAGGGGAUGAAGAAGAUGGGCAAUCAGAAAUCAUGGUACCUCAGCCACCGUAUGUUGGGCAGAGAUUUGAUUCGUUCGAAGAUGCCAAGGAAUUCUACCAGAGAUAUGCAAUGUUCCAUGGGUUUGCAGUCAAUACCGAAUACCAUAGGAAAAUUAAAAAACUAACGAGUACAGCAGAAGGUGAGAUGAGGUGCUACAAGGCACGAAGGAACAAGAAGGAUAAAUGUGUUGCGCUUGUCGUUCCGGAACGAAAGAGAGGUAUCAUUGUCAAGACGGAAUGCCCUGUCCGGUGUAAGCUAAACAUAGAUGGAGCACGGUGGGUGGUCACUGAAUAUUUUGAUGAGCACAACCACGAACUCAUAAAGAAGUUUGACCUGGUAAAAUUUUUGAGCGCCCAUAGAGGAUUCACCCCCCUCGAGAAGAAAUUCAUAAAGCUGCUACAUGAUUGUAACGUCGGUCCAUCAAGAAUGGUCCAAAUAAUGUCCCUCAUCCACAGCGGAGAUGGUAGACUGAGUAGCAUGCCCUACAUACCGGCAGACGUCACAAACCUAAAGGCAAAGUACCGUAGAGAGAGCAGAUUCCAGGAAGAAAUAAAGCGUGCCAGCAUGUACACGGCUUACCAGGUGGACGAAUAUGUUCAAGUAAUGGACAUGAACGCGGUGACACGAAUGCCCCGCCAUUUCAUACGGCGGCAAUGGACUUGGGACGCUGACGACGCGUUGGGGCCACAAACAUCAAAUGCAGUUUUGGCUAUGCAUGAUGAGAGACCAGAGUCAACCAUGGAAGCCGUUAGGCACGUUGUGUUGACAAAGAACUAUUCUGAACUAAUAGAUGAAGCGUGCAAGAGUGAUGAGACAGCGAGGGUUGCAGAAAAACACAGGAAGGCACUGAAAAGAGAGCUUGAUGAGAUCAAGAAGAGGAAACCUGAGGAAGCCUUACACAAGUUCCCCCGCACCUCAAGUGUGCCUUCGUCCACGGGGCCAUCAUCUGAAAACUCGGAGGUAGGAUCUGGAACAGCAAGCACACAAACCUAG